rnacentral:lncRNA from 1 species
UCAGGAUACCACGUCAGUUCAAAGAGAACAGAUAGAGUGGAUGAUACUAAGGCAACAUCUUCUUGUACUAUAUUUGAAGCACCGACAGAAGGUAAAGAACCUGUAGAUGAUCCAGAAACAAACGAAUCAAAAUAAUGAGAAUAGGGCUUGGAUCGUCGAGACUCGGAUGGGCCAUGAUCAGGACACAUGUAGGCUGAAGCAAACGGCCCACAACUCAAGUGAGUAGAUGGCCCAAUAGAAUGUCUAUUUCCAAAAAUAGGGUUAGUAGCAUCAUCAUCAUAAGCCAAGUCGUAUCAGUAGAAGUACCUAUUAGCAAGAUGGUUGAUUUUGCCACAGAUCUAACAUUGUGGUCGUGUGCCUCCACAAAACUGACCAUGUCAUUUCACAAGUAAACCCUGGUGCUCGAUUAGGU